rnacentral:lncRNA from 1 species
AGCCACUUUUGGUAAUGGCUAUUCAGUUGGAAUGGCCUCAUUUGUACAGAGAAGAUAGGUUUAUCGUCAUGUGAGGUGGAUUGCACAUUGAAAUGACGUUAUAAAAUUAUGGGUGAUAUAUUACGUGACAGUGAGUGGAUGACCAUGUGUCCUCACUAAAACCAAUAUUGCACCUAGAACGGCAGAUUCUUUGUAUGUAUGUUCAAAUGUAUCUAGGACUAGACACGC